GACGAACGCUGGCGGCGUGGAUUAGGCAUGCAAGUCGAACGGUAUCAUCCUUUCGGGGGUGAGAGAGUGGCGAACUGGUGAGUAACACGUAGGUUAUCUACCCUCAAGACGGGGACAACCCAGGGAAACUUGGGCUAAUACCGGAUGUGAGCAACUUUUAGUUGUUUGAAAGGUGGCGUAAGCUGUCGCUUGGGGAUGAGCCUGCGUCCUAUUAGUUAGUUGGUGAGGUAACGGCUCACCUAGGCAAUGAUAGGUAGGCGGCCUUAACGGGUGGUCGCCCACACUGGGAUUGAGAUACGGCCCAGACUCCUACGGGAGGCAGCAGUCGAGAAUAGUCUACAAUGGUCGGAAGACUGAUAGUGCGACGCCGCGUGAACGAUGAAUCCCUUCGGGGUGUAAAGUUCUUUUAUAUGUGAGCAGUGCUUCUUAUAUUAACAGUAUGGGGAGAGAGAUAUUAGCAAUAUGAAUAAGCAACGGCUAACUCCGUGCCAGCAGCCGCGGUAAAACG
rnacentral:rRNA from 1 species